UACGUAGGGUGCGAGCGUUAAUCGGAAUUACUGGGCGUAAAGUGUGCGCAGGCGGCCGCGCAAGUCGAGUGUGAAAUCCCCGAGCUUAACUUGGGAAUUGCGCUCGAAACUACGUGGCUGGAGUGUGGCAGAGGAAGGUGGAAUUCCACGUGUAGCGGUGAAAUGCGUAGAUAUCUGGAGGAACACCGGUGGCGAAGGCGGCAUCCUGGACCAACACUGACGCUGAGGAGCGAAAGCCAGGGGAGCAAACGGG
rnacentral:rRNA from 1 species